GAUGAACGCUGGCGGCGUGCCUAAUACAUGCAAGUCGAGCGAACAGAUAAGGAGCUUGCUCCUUUGACGUUAGCGGCGGACGGGUGAGUAACACGUGGGUAACCUACCUAUAAGACUGGAAUAACUCCGGGAAACCGGGGCUAAUGCCGGAUAACAUUUAGAACCGCAUGGUUCUAAAGUGAAAGAUGGUUUUGCUAUCACUUAUAGAUGGACCCGCGCCGUAUUAGCUAGUUGGUAAGGUAACGGCUUACCAAGGCAACGAUACGUAGCCGACCUGAGAGGGUGAUCGGCCACACUGGAACUGGGACACGGUCCAGACUCCUACGGGAGGCAGCAGUAGGGAAUCUUCGGCAAUGGGCGAAAGCCUGACGGAGCAACGCCGCGUGAGUGAUGAAGGUCUUCGGAUCGUAAAACUCUGUUAUUAGGGAAGAACAAAUGUGUAAGUAACUGUGCACGUCUUGACGGUACCUAAUCAGAAAGCCACGGCUAACUACGUG
rnacentral:rRNA from 1 species